GGCCCCAUAAUAUAUUCCCCAAAUCUUUACCAUUUUCAUUUUUUAGUGUAGGAUUACAGGAACAGAAAGAUCUUUGAUAGACAAGAAAUCUUCUAAUAAUUUGGUUCAAUUACUGAUUUAUUUUUUAAAAGAAGAACAGUAAGGGAUGUAAGGUGAAAUUAGUUGUAUUAAAUUUAAGCUUAUUUAGUUAAUUAAUCUGUUAAUUAUUCGUAUCAAAUCCUGAAAAUUUG
rnacentral:lncRNA from 1 species